rnacentral:rRNA from 1 species
CGCUGGCGGCAUGCUUUACACAUGCAAGUCGAACGGCAGCACGGGGGCAACCCUGGUGGCGAGUGGCGAACGGGUGAGUAAUAUAUCGGAACGUACCCGGAAAUGGGGGAUAACGCAGCGAAAGUUGCGCUAAUACCGCAUAUGCCCUGAGGGGGAAAGCGGGGGAUCCGCAAGGACCUCGCGUUUUCGGAGCGGCCGAUAUCGGAUUAGCUAGUAGGUGGGGUAAAGGCCUACCUAGGCGACGAUCCGUAGCUGGUCUGAGAGGACGACCAGCCACACUGGAACUGAGACACGGUCCAGACUCCUACGGGAGGCAGCAGUGGGGAAUUUUGGACAAUGGGCGAAAGCCUGAUCCAGCCAUGCCGCGUGAGUGAAGAAGGCCUUCGGGUUGUAAAGCUCUUUCAGCCGGAAAGAAAGCGCAUGGGUGAAUAACCUGUGUGGAUGACGG